CCUACGGGAGGCUGCAGUGGGGAAUAUUGGGCAAUGGGCGCAAGCCUGACCCAGCAACGCCGCGUGAAGGAAGAAGGCUUUCGGGUUGUAAACUUCUUUUAUCAGGGACGAAACAAGUGACGGUACCUGAUGAAUAAGCCACGGCUAACUACGUGCCAGCAGCAGCGGUAAUACGGAGGUGGCAAGCUUUAUCCGGAUUUACUGGGUGUAAGGGGUGUGUAGGCGGGAGGUCAAGUCAGAUGUGAAAACUAUGGGCUCAACCCAUAGCUUGCAUUUGAAACUGUACUUCUUGAGUGCUGGAGAGGCAAUCGGAAUUCCGGGUGUAGCGGUGAAAUGCGUAGAUAUACGGAGGAACACCAGUGGCGAAGGCGGAUUGCUGGACAGUAACUGACGCUGAGGCGCGAAAGCGUGGGGAGCAAACAGGAUUAGAUACCCGUGUAGUC
rnacentral:rRNA from 1 species